rnacentral:rRNA from 1 species
AAGGUUAAGAGGAGUGCUUAGCUUCGGCGAAGGUACGAAUUGAAGCCCCAGUAAACGGCGGCCGUAACUAUAACGGUCCUAAGGUAGCGAAAUUCCUUGUCGGGUAAGUUCCGACCCGCACGAAAGGCGCAACGAUCUGGGCACUGUCUCAACGAGAGACUCGGUGAAAUUAUAGUACCUGUGAAGAUGCAGGUUACCCGCGACAGGACGGAAAGACCCCGUGGAGCUUUACUGCAACCUGAUAUGGAAUGUUUGUACCGCUUGUACAGGAUAGGUAGGAGCCGAAGAGACGUGUGCGCUAGCAUACGAGGAGGCAAUGGUGGGAUACUACCCUGGCUGUAUGACCAUUCUAACCCGCCACGCUUAGCGCGUGGGGAGACAGUGUCAGG